rnacentral:lncRNA from 1 species
UUAAAAUAUUUCAUUUUUAUGUGUAUUGUCCACAUAAAACUUAAACAUUUUCAUCGUACGCAUGCGCAUUGUUUUCAAACCUUUCUUUAUUCUUGUGUGUUUCCCCUAAACAAUACUUAUGAGUUUUCCAGUGUUUCUGGUCCCGUUCAAUACUUAAAAGUUUUCAUUUUUGUGUGUUGCCCCAUACAAAUCCAUAUUGAAACAAAACUGACUGACAUUUUUGUUUCCUUCAUUUAAGUAGUACAACAAAAUUCAAUGUCAUGAAUCUGCUAUCUAUUUCAGGACAAACAACAAGUAUCCCUCCCAUCAGAACACUUCCUCCAGAUGCCUCCGCCAACAUCCUGGGGAUCAACCAAUCACAGCACAGCAAGCAGUGGGCAGCAUGUGAAUGGUUUUAUUCCAAUGGCUGUGAGCAUGAAAUCACCUGGCCUUGUGCUGAAGUCAUCUUCUGUGAACUGAUCAACCAGAUGUAUACCUCUAAUUAAUUGUGUCUUAGCCAAGAUAACUUGGACCUGCGUCACAGAGUCAUUGAUGAUCAACUAGGUAGUAGGACACACUUCACAGAUGGGACCUCUUUACAUUAUCUGGCUGGAAUUUAAAGAGCCGAGACUACCAUCAGGAAUAUCUUCCAUGUAAUAACACUAACCCUGAGUGUUGCUACCAUGUCUUCCACACAGUAACAUUGAAACGGAACAUUGUUGCUGAGUCUACUGCACAGUAAUGCUGAUUAGGACAUUGCUAUUUUGUGUUUUCACGCAGUAACACUUAUCCAGAUUGUUGCUACUGGGUAGUCCACACAGGAAAAACACACAGUAACGCCUGACUUAGGAUGUUGCUAAAAAGUCUUCCAUGCAAUAACAAGAACCCGAAAGUUUGUUUUGUUUUUCUAUCAUCUGGAAAAUUCAGACAGAUGAUAGAAGUAAUACUAGUCAUGUCAAUAAGCAUAGUACACUCUUUAGUAUCUGUUGAUAUUAACACUACCGAUACUGAAAGCUCGGAUCUGCUAAACAUUGGAAAGAAAGCCAAGAUUAACUAUUUUGCAAUUCACUGUGUGUGACAUAAAGUAACAUUUAGUUCGAAGGUGAUUGUGAAAACUCACUGAAUGUGACAGAUGACAGUGAAAGAAAGACGGUAAUACUCACUAGUAAAACUCAAAUCAUGUUUAAAAGUGACUGUAGGUAUAGUAAUAUUGAGAAUACAUGUUUUCAUUGUUAAAUGUCAAAAAAUAAAGUGUAACUGAUUGUUCCAAUGUAUUUAUAUCAUUUGGUUGAAACAAUUAUCUAAAGACAAAAACUAGACCAAUCCUUUUGAUUUUUGAGUGGUUAGUAGUUGCAAACAUUUCCCACAAAAGACCAAGGAAUCACCCCUUUUGGAAGUCUGCAAUCUCCCUUGAUUCACACACACAUGUAUGCUGGCAUUCAUACAGUACAGUGUGCUAAACGUACAGAACAAACCUGUUAUGUAUGCAUUUUUACAUUUAUUAUGUCUCCCACAUGUAGUGAGGGUGACAUAUUGAUUAAGUGCUGUCUGUCAUAAAGUUUGUCCACAUAACUCCAACACAAGUGGGGGAUUUACAC